rnacentral:rRNA from 1 species
UGAGGAAUAUUGGUCAAUGGGCGGCAGCCUGAACCAGCCAUCCCGCGUGAAGGAAGAAUGCGCUAUGCGUUGUAAACUUCUUUUUCCGGGGGAUAAAAUUCUGUAUGUAUACAGGACUGAAGGUACCCUGAGAAUAAGCAUCGGCUAACUCCGUGCCAGCAGCCGCGGUAAUACGGAGGAUGCGAGCGUUAUCCGGAUUUAUUGGGUUUAAAGGGUGCGUAGGCGGAAUAAUAAGUCAGUGGUGAAACCCUGCAGCUUAACUGUAGACUUGCCAUUGAUACUGUUUUUCUUGAGUAUGGUCAAGGCAGGCGGAAUGUGUAAUGUAGCGGUGAAAUGCUUAGAUAUUACACAGAACACCGAUAGCGAAGGCAGCUUGCUGGGCCGUUACUGACGCUGAUGCACGAAAGCGUGGGGAUCGAACAG